UUUAAGAAUUAAAACUGAGAUUUCUCUUAAAUGCGAACGUUUCCGUGGGAGCAGUUAGAUAAAUUCAGUCGGGCGGCUUCGCUUUCUCCAGUUUGUUCAUCAAGCAAGCCGUCUGCGAUACUUGAAACUGGUCCAUAUAUUAUUGCCAUCCGAUAUGUUUAGUUACGCCAGUGGCACGAAUUAGCCUGCCAAAGAAAAAAAAAGUUGCUUUCAACGUGGGGCACGUGCCGUCUGCAGUCGCGCCGCCAUUGUCAUCUUCCCAGAGGCUGUGUUUACACAAACGCAUUCCCCCAAUCGCCCCCUGCGGAAAGUUGGCACUCCCGACCACCAGCC